CGUGUAGGCGGCCCUGCAAGUCAGAGGUGAAAUCUCCCGGCUCAACCGGGAACGUGCCUUUGAAACUUCAGGGCUCGAGGUCGUGAGAGGAGACUGGAAUUCCUAGUGUAGCGGUGAAAUGCAUAGAUAUUAGGAAGAACACCAGUGGCGAAGGCGAGUCUCUGGCACGAUUCUGACGCUGAGGCGCGAAAGCUAGGGGAGCGAAC
rnacentral:rRNA from 1 species